UACUGGCCUGUCAAGUCGGUGU
rnacentral:miRNA from 1 species